rnacentral:tRNA from 1 species
GCUUGGCUGGCUCAGUCAGUGGAGCAUGUGACUCUUGAUCUUGGGGUUGUGAGUUCAAGCCUCACAUUGGGUA